UGAUUUUUUUAAGAGCUUGUAAUAGAGGAAAUGGAAUCAUCUUUUGUCUUUCAUAUAUGUUACAAAUAUUGUUUCCUGAUAUCAUUUACUAUUUUUCUGUUUCAUAAGGCAAAAGUCACAGUGGUUUCUCUUUUCAAAUGACCUUGCCUUAUAGUUAAUGCAGAUUCCUCCCGUAUUCUGUCAAGGUUGUGUUUAGUCUUAGUCUGUGGUGUUACUUGGCAUUUCAGGCUAUCCUAUGGGUGCAUUAGCAUUUUAAUGAAAUAUUGCAAGGGGCUGCCCCAGAGGCUGCUAGCCAGAUGCUAUUCAAACCUGAAAGUCAAGAAAAUGACUUUUAGCUACAACCUGGUUAUCGCGGUCAUGGAUGUAAGUUAAUCAGAGGUAGCAGAAAUCACACUGCAUUAAUUCAUCAUUACUCAAAGCAUGGGCAGAUACACAGGCUGGGAAAUAAUGGGCAUGGGAUGCUGAUGCCAGUUCUUUGGAGUAUUUUUCACCCGCGGUUUGUCACACCUUAAGGCAUCUAGGUAUUUUACUUGAAGAGGCAUGAACCAGUAAAAUGGCAGCAGAAGGAAGGAUUAGGAAGGAAUCCUUACAGAAGGAAGGAUUUUUGAAAAUGCUCAGUCUAGGGAUAGUGCAAUUGCAACAGUGAAGAACAGAGAUUAUGUCUGAAAUCUUCUCUACCUUUACUGGCCACAAAGGACAAUGAAAGCACUGCGUGUGGACCCUAAAUAUACUGUCAGAGCAACCCUAGGAGAUAUAAGGAGCCCAGGUAAUCAAUCUUAGUCUCUCAGGAAGUUCUAUUUCACUCACCCUGAUAACCGUUGGCCCCUCCCAGGAUAAGGGAACGCCUGCCGCACAGACUUCCUCCUCUUUCCAAGUAUUACAGAUGUGCCAGCCCCUGGGUCCAGCGCCUCUGCUCCACAGAGCCUUCAGUGAGACCAGAAGGAGCCCAGGGCCAUCUUGCUAUUGUCUUGUCCAUGAAGAUCUACCCUUACCCCUCCUGAUGAGCCCAGACUUGAAGGUUAAGUAUCCCUGCUCUGGCAGUGUUGGUCUUUGGAAAUUACUUAACUGCCUUGGGCCUUAGUUUACUCAUCAGAACAAUGUGGUGUUGAUGCCUAUAUUCAGAGGAGAAAAUGAGAGAUCGCUGUGCAAGCAGCUGCCACAGUGUCUAGCCCACAGCAGGGGCUAACACACAUUCACAUCGCGUUUCCUCUGUCUGCUGCCCCAGAGGGCACAGUCUAGCUGGCCUUACCUCAAGCCCUACUGGCCUUAAUUCCAGUGUUUAGGACCCUUCCCAUGGGCUUUUCUUCCCUCUUCAGGAGCAGAGUGGGGGUGAGAACGUGUAGCACAAGACCUCAUGUACAUAGGUAUCCUGAGUAACCUUUGGUGAUAUCCUGAAGUGCCGGGGCUGCAUAUGCAGGUUUGGACCAACCAUGGGUCUCAGAGUAAAAGGAUGAUAAAGAAGGAAGGGGUGAGGUGCCAGUAGCCUGGGUGACACGGUGACAGUGCUGUAUGCACUUGGACUGCCCUAAGUGCAGAAGUCACAGAACCUCCCGCUGUUCACACCACCAGGCGUUGGAUUUUCUGCUGCUUGCAGCUCCAUGCAAUUCUACCUGAAGAAGAAAGCAUCCCCAUGAGAACCCAGGGGACCACUAAGAGGAGCCUCAAGCCAGCUGAGAAGGUCAGCGAUGGUUGAAAGAGCAGUGAUCCUGGGGGCUCAGAAGGUCCUGUUGACAUGUGGGCAAACCCACCCAGCCGCCCUCACAGUCCAGACAAGCCAAGCAAACAUCCUCCGGGCCUGCUGCCUUCCAAAGGACCUGCUCCUGGUGGGGGCCUGACAUCUUCGGAGACGCACCCUCUUUCCUGUCUUUUUCUCUCUCCCUGUUUCAAAGCAUUGUCAUCCCCAUAUCCACCCAACAUUUUGUAUCCUAGCUGCUGUUACUUCCCCGUCUUCCAGGUCUUUCCACCACUGAUUCAGAGAAGAGCAGGGCUUUCAUACAGCAAUGCAGAUGCAAGUUUGAAGCUCAGCAGAGGCAGGAUGUGCCGUCCGAGCCCUCCCAGAAUCCAGACAUGCGCUGCGCCCUGGUCAGCAGGAUGCAGUCUUUUGGGGGGUGCUGGCGUGUAGCUCGGGGAGCUGCUCCCGUGCAGAGCUAUUUGGGCCUGGUGAUGCAAAAGGAGAAGGAGAAGCAGGAAGCAUGUGGCCCUGGCCCUUUCUGGGACCUUGCCAGACUAUUUGAGGAGCAAGACCGUUUCCCCAGAUGCACGUGGAAGCCAGCAAGCCUGCAGCUGCUCAGAGCCUCCAAGGUACACGGCACACAGCUCCCCAGGAGCCAUGGACGCCAGGCAGGGGAUGGCUGAUGUCUGGCAAAACAUGGGGGAUGCCAUCUGAGAGCAUAGACUUGUCCCUGACACCUGUGAGCUGCCCCUGUGACUCCGGAAAGGCAUAGGGAGAUGUCAUCCCCACCCAGGAGCAGCUCAGGGCCCCAAACCACUGAGGGUUGGUGUUCCAUGGCUUAAUAUGUACCCUGGGGCAUCUGGGCCACAAUAGCCAUGUGACAGCGUGUUCACCUCUGAGCUUACCUCAGAGUCUGUCACCCCAUGUGUGAAAGGGUACUGAGAGCAGAUGGCGGGUACGCAGGAGGGUUCAAGUCUCAGCAUGGCCACAUACUGGCUGCAAUACUCGAGGCAAUUCACUGUAGCUCCCUGUGCCCUGGUUUUCCCAAAUGUUAAAUAAACAUAACACUAGUACCUAGUGUUAGGGUUUCUGCUACUUCUGGUCCUCGGAGAGGCAGAGCCGAGCUGGGAAGGGACGAGACACACAGGAGGACCUGCGGGGAAGUUGGGAAGCAUGGGGAGCUAGGACAGCCUUCAGACCGUCAGGUAGGUGUGUCCCCUGCUGGAUAGAGGGAGGACAGUUGGGGCAAGGCCACUGGGGGGUGUCACGAAACCAAAGUCACUGCCUGAGGAGUCCUGUGUCUCCUAGAGAUGGACCAGUCCUGGUGUGGGGUGCCACCUCGGGGCACAGUGGCCCAUUACACCCCCACAGCCAGAGUUCUGAGGGAGGUCUGCAGGUGCCUUCUCACACCGCUGCUGUCAUGAGAAUGAUGUGCUCCCGGGUCUCUCUGCUGGCUGAUAUCCCUCAGGGAAGCCCGGUCCCCCAGCACCCAGCCUCCACUGGUCAGCGCCUCGGCCGAGGAGGGAGGGAAGCUCGGAACACUCUCCUCCCAGCAUGAUGCAGAUCUGUUUUACUGCUCACUGUCUCUUGGUCACCAGUGUAAUGACAUUCAUCUCCAUUGUCAAGGGGAAGCUGAGGAAGCCCAUACUUCUCCUUUGGGGUGUGAGUUGCAAAAACUCUUCUUCAAUCCCCAGUAUUAGAAAUCCUGUUUUUGCUUUCACAGCUAUGUGCAAAGUCUAAACAGUGUCUUUCUAAAAAUGGACAAAAGAAGCCACGACUUAUCUGGAAACAAACCCAAGACCCUAGGAAGUGAGGACUGAGAGAGGCUACUCCAGCAGGGGCACCUCCGCGCUUGAUGGGACAGGAGAGGUGCCACGAGGCACUCUGCAGGAUGGGUUGAUUCCCUCCCUUGUGUUUCCAAUUUAAGACACCUGGCCAGGGUCGGGUAGUCUGGAAAUUACGCACACCCAAAAGGGUAGCAUCAUGGCAUCCAGGGAAAUGUCAGCAUCCCAGGAUAAACCAACUCACAAAAAAAGAACUAUCUUUUGUGUGUGUGCGCUGCACAGAGGCACUGAGCCAGGUCACUGUGCCAAGGGUGUCUGCAGCCUCCACAGUCCCUGGCCUGAUUGUAACCCAACCACAGGGCAGCCCCCAAAAUCUGAGAACUCAGUCCCUCCAAGUCAGUCACACCAUCGUACACCUACACAAAGCUAAUAGGGAAGUUUGGGGUACGCCUCAAGUUGACAAGGUCAAGUGCAUGAUCUUUCCCAGAGCUCGUUCUUUCAUUCCCAGAGAGUAUCUGUGACUGGUUCCUGCCCCAGCCCCCAUGAGGGAGCCUCUCUGGCUAAGCUGACAGGAAAUCCACUCUGGGUGCUCUCUUCCAUGACCGGUGGAGGGGGAGGGAGUGUACAGCAAAGAGGAGUAAGCAUCCAGAUUUCCACAAGGAAGACAUUCAGGCACAUAUCCCCAGUGGAAAGGCUGACUUUCUAGAACUUGCUAGCUGACCCACCUGCCGCCCAGAACUGAAUUUGAUGGACUUUUACUUAAUUCCAUAUAAAAAAUAGCCCAUUUUGUGGAUGGAGUUGGUUCCCUUCAAAACUGUCCUUGCAGAGACCUCAUCUGGAAUGGCCCAAUCAUAGGAUGACCUCUACAGUGAAUUUAGUGCAUGCUUUAUCUGAGAGCAUUAAUGGCCAUGCACAUGGACUGGCCUUCCUCAAACCGGCCAGUUGACUUUUACCCUGAUUCUUUUCCCGAACAACCAUAUCUGAAAGACUGUAUGGUGGCACGGUGACAAGUGGGAGCUCCAGAGGGACACAGUCUGGUGCAAAUCCUAGCUCUUUCAUCCACCAGUUGGGAGACUUUGGGCCAGUUUUUAACAAUUUGGGGCUCAGUUUCUUCCUCUGUAAAGUGAGAAUGACAGUAAUAGCUCCCCUCAUACUGCUAUAAGAAUUAAAUGAAUAUUUGUGAAGUUCUCAGACCCAUGCCUGGCACAUAGCUAGCAUCCCCUGAAUACUUGCUAUAGUGCUGAUGGCUGUCUUUAUUAGACAUGCCCUGCGAGCAGAAGCUGGGAUUUGAACACAGGACCAUGUUACUACUCAGUCACACUUUUUUCCAUGAAGCUGUUUUUAAUUUGGAAAUUUCCAUUCCUUAAAGUUCAAAACCAAACAUCAGGAACUGAAAGGAGAGGCCACCUGCUCUCUCUAGUCACUGCUAUGUAACUAGAUGUCUUUAAAUUAUGGUGGCCUUCUCUUUCAGCCUGCUGAUUCAUGUUGCCUGGGCCUCCCCCAGGCUGCAAGCACCCAGUUCUCCUCCUCUCGGACAGAAAUCGUCAUUCUAUCUAUGGGAAUAGGAAGAGAAUGUCAGAGGGAUUCUGGGGAUAUUCACUUCAAAUUUUUUCAUCUUUACAUUCUGAGAAAAUUAAAUGAAUCAUUUUAAGCAGCCUGAAAAAUGACUUCUCGAAUAUUUAACCAGAUUAAGAAUUAAGAUUAAGAAAGUUUUCUUCCGCUUUUUUCCCCAACUUUUACUUUGAAAAAGUUCAAAGCUAAAAAGUCAAGCAAGUUAUUAUAACAAACACCAACCUUUAUCUGGAUUCGCCAAUUUUAACAAUCUGUUACAUUUGUUUGACCUUUCUUUAUAGACAUACACACACACACACAGAUUUUUCUUUGGCUGAAGAAUAAGUUACAAACAUCCUGAUAUUGAACUCCUAAUUGUAUCAGCACAUAUCUUCAAAGAGGAAGGACUCCUCCCACAUAACCACAAAACCAUUAUCACACCCAAGAAAUUUAACAUUAAUUCAAUAAUAUAA